rnacentral:rRNA from 1 species
GCAGCCUGCAACUCGGCNGCAUGAAGCUGGAAGGUCGCUAGUAAUCGCGGAUCAGAAUGCCGCGGUGAANACGUUCCCGGGUCUUGUACACACCGCCCGUCACACCAUGGGAGUCGGAAAUGCCCGAAGUCAGUGACCCAACCGGAAGGAAGGAGCUGCCGAAGGUGGAGCCGGUAACUGGGGUGAAGUCGUAACAAGGUACC